rnacentral:lncRNA from 1 species
AGGUGGCUGAAGGAGAGAAAUGUAUUUGGUGUCUGCCAUAUCUUUGCAACCUUCAGUGACACUUUUGUCCAUGUCACUGAUCUUUCUGGCAAAGAAACCAUCUGCCGUGUGACUGGUGGGAUGAAGGUGAAGGCAGACCGAGAUGAAUCCUCGCCAUGUGCUGCUUUUUUGGCUGCCCAGGAUGUGGCCCAGAGGUGCAAGGAGCCAGGUAUCACUGCCCUACACGUCAAACUCUGGGCCACAGGAGGAAAUAGGACCAAGACCCCUGGACCUGGGGCCAGUCGGCCUUCAGAGCCCUUGCCCGCUUGAGUAUGAAGAUCAGGCAGAUUGAGGACAUCACCCCCCAUCCCCUCUUGA